rnacentral:misc_RNA from 1 species
GUAGGUGAACCUGCGGAAGGAUCAUUAACACUUUUUCCUUUUUGGAAGCGCGGGAGCCGCUUCGGCGGAUCCCGUGCCUUUCAUUCGCCCCCUUUGAACGAACGUCGGUUGCCCUGUUUCUAUUCUCCUUUUACUAUUUCAUACCCACCCAUUCCACCUGUGACAUGCCACUUGCGUCGCGGGCCCACUCGGCGCGCGCUCGCAAAACACAAAACAUACAGAACAAUCCUCAGCAACGGAUAUCUUGGUUCUC